UGUAGCUCAGUGGUAGAGCACUUGCCUUGUUACACAUGAGGCACUAGGUUCAAUUCCCAGCA
rnacentral:tRNA from 1 species